GCAAUAUAGACCCUGUGACUUACCACUCCUCGCAACAGUCUGAUAUGAACUGAACAGGGUCCACGGCCCCUGAGAUCACUCUGGACUGUUUGCUUUUCCUGCCUGGAGCCCUUGAAACCUGAAGGGGCUUAGGGAAUUGGGCUGCUUGGGUUCAGAUGCAGACUCUUGCAAACCUCAGAAUCAGACAGUGAUGAUAUGACCAAGGAGCUUCGUACCCGCUGGGAGCACUAAUAACAACGGGGCCCUUUAAGCUUUUGGCCCAUGGUGGGAUCUUACUUGUUCCACACCUCCUGGCCCACUGCAUCUCCACUUCUAAGAGUCCGGCUUUCUCAAGUUGGGCGGCUAACCUCUGGCGAAGAGUCACCGACUUCGGAAUCGCGAUUGCACCGCUCGGGGCAGGCAGUUGCCAUCAGCGAAGUCCCCAAAGUCUUUUGCCAACAGGCGGCUGACGUCGGCGCGCCCCUGCCGAGCUCUCCUUUUACUACAGGCGGCAGGCGGCUUUGCGGAGCCCCGCCCCCUCGCCUGCCCACACCUCGUAGUUUAUAUAGAAGGCGCCGCGGUGCUGAUUCGCGGCUCCCCGGGACGCGAGAGUUCUUCGGACGGAGAGCGCGAGCGAGGGAGCGGGCGAGCUCCGAGGAGGUGAGGGUGUAGGGUGCAGGUAAGGCUCACGGGUUCCUGCUCUUCCGCCCGCGAGCAACUCGGGGCCCCCUUUUUGGCAAAAUAAUGGGAACCUGAAAAUGGAUUAAACAGAGCCAAAGAAAGAGGCGACCCUCCCCUUCCCAUUGCCCGC
rnacentral:lncRNA from 1 species